AAGUUGUUGCGGUUAAAAGCUCGUAGUUGGAUUUCUGUUAGGGAUGGCCAGUCCGGUCUACGACUGUGUAUUUGGUUCAGCCUUGGCAUCCUCGUAAUCUUGCCGUCCUUAAUUCGGCGGUUGGGCUACGACUUUUACUUUGAGGAAAUUAGAGUGUUCACGGCAGGCGAUCGCCCUGAAUAUAUUAGCAUGGAAUAAUAACAUAGGACUUCGGUACUAUUUUGUUGGUUUCUAGCACUGGAGUAAUGAUUAAUAGGGAUAAUUGGGGGCAUUUGUAUCAUGGCGUCAGAGGUGGAAUUCUUGGUUUUUUUUGCGACAAACUACUGCGAAAGCAUUUGCCAAGGAUGUUUUCAUUGAUCAAGAAC
rnacentral:rRNA from 1 species